ensembl:lncRNA
CACAUACGAACAACAGCUAACUGCUAAUGCUACAGGACAGGAACACAUACGAACAACAGCUAACUGCUAAUGCUACAGGACAGGAACACAUACGAAAUACUCAAAAAAGACCCCACAGAACAAAAGAAAAGGACAUUAAAAACUCUGCUCAAGCCACUAUUAGAAACCAAUAAAAUAACACAGGAAGCUUACAACCACCUCAUUCCCACAGCUAACGUUACCCCCCGGAUAUAUGGGACACCAAAAAUAAAUAAAAAAGACACACCACUGCGCCCUAUUGUAGACAGCAUCGGAUCAGUCACCUAUAACCUCUCAAAAGCUUUAGUAGAAAUCAUCAAACCCCUCCUCGGUACAUCACAACAUCACUGCAAGAACUCAAAACAACUGGCACAAGAACUCAACAAUAUCACAGUACAAAAAGACGACAUAUUCAUUUCACAUGAUGUAGUUUCAUUAUUCACAAAAACCCCCAUUGACGUCACAUUACAUAUCGUACAAGAGCGACUAAGGAGGACAGGACACUGAAAAAAACGCACAAACCUCACAGUAAAUGACAUCCUCACACUACUCCGGUUCGUUGCCACAUCCACCUAUUUUCAGUUCAAAGGAAUUAUUUACAGUCAGAAACAAGGUUUUGCAAUGGGAGAUCCACUAUCUGCAAUAAUGAGUAAUUUGUUCAUGGAGGACCUAGAAACAAAAGCCAUCCACACAGCACCCACACACUGCAGACGACACGUUGAUGACAUCCUGGAAAUAAUAAAAUCUGGACACACACAAGAACUUACCGAUCAUCUGAAUAACAUGGACGACACAGGAAAUAUACAAUUCACGCAUGAAGAAGAAAUAAACCGGACCAUUUCAUUUUUGGACAAACAUACACCACAGACAAGACGGCAGCAUUAAGAUCACAGUUUACAGGAAACCCACACAUACAGACCAGUACCUCCUCUGGACAUCAGAACAUCCACAGAACACAAACUAUCAGCAGUUAGAACACUUUAUGAACGGACCAGUAUCAUAACAGACGAUAAAGACAGACAGGAGGAGGAAAAACACAUCACCCACUGCAUGACACUGUGGGGUCUUUAAGCAGUUCCUUCAGCAGCAGACUGAGACAUCCACCCUGCAAGAAGGAACGCUAUCACAGGUCCUUCAUCCCAUCUGCUGUAAGACUUUACAACAUCAGCAUCACUGGCUGAUGUUAACAUAAACUGGACUACAUCAUUACCACCCCAAACCAUAAAAUUUGCACUGACAUUCUUGCACUGCACAUCUCUGCACUUUUAAACUUUAUUUUUAUUUUUUCUGUUAAAAAUUUUUUUCACCCUUGUAUAUAUUGUAAAUAAAGCUGCUGUAACAAUGUAAAUUUCCCCUGGAGUGGGGAGAAAUAAAGAACUUUAUCUUAUCUUAUCUUAUCUUAUCAAGAACGCACUCAUACUCUGCCAAUACCCGAUAUGGGCCAUCAACAAAGGAAAACAACAAGCUAAAAACAAAGUAAAAAAAAAAAACAAAAGGAAACACAAACAAAACGCACACAACAACCAGACAAUAAAAACAAAGACACAAUCACCAUCCCAUAUAUCCAUGGGAUAACAGAACCCAUACAGUGCAUAAUGAAAAAACACAACAUCAACACAGCAGUAAAACCACAUACAAAACUCUGGCAGCUAUUAGUCCAUCCCAAAGACAAAAUAGAACCGGACAAGAAAUGCAGCAUCAUUUAUGAAAUUCCGUGCAAAUCUUGCGAGAAAACAUACAUUGGAGAAACAGGCAGAACAUUCAACACAAGACGAAAAGAACACCAGACAGAAUGCGAAAAGGAAACAACUGGACGACUCACAAGAACACAAAAAGAAAAAGCCGAACAAGAAAACAAAAAAUCAGCCAUCAGGGACCACUGCAAAAGAAAUAAUCUUAUCAUGGACUGGGACAGGGGGAGGAUUGUAACAUCAGAGACCAACAAGCAUAAACGAUGGAUCAAGGAGGCCAUCGAGAUCAGGAAGCAGGCGAGCUGCUCCAUGAACCAGGACGAGGGGGACUACACCCUCUAAUACCUGAGACUCUGUCAGAGUCUCAGGUAUUAGACCACCGGACGGCGGGGGGCGUGGCCUAUCUGACAGAUUCUGACAGAUCUGUCAGACUGGUCACAUGAUAAAAAGGACACGUCAGCACACGCCAGAUGACGCUCUGAAGAAGACUGCAGUUGCAGUUGAAACAUGUCAGUUAAGGUAAAACCAUCUUAUCUUUGAUUUGUCGGUGUAAAAGAAAUAACGUUAUCCUAUGAUAGUCAACGACAAAAUGAACAUCAUCCAAAUAUGGAGGAUUUUGCUGUUUUUAAUCGUGGACUGAAUUUGCUUUUCCUGCUUAAAAAUGUACCAUUAAAAAGAACUGGUUUUAA